GUUUUAAUAGUUUAAAGAAAACUUCGGUCUUGUAAACCAAAAAUGAACAAUUAAUUUUUUCUUAAAACA
rnacentral:tRNA from 2 species